UACGAAGGGGGAGCUAGCGUUGUUCGGAAUUACUGGGCGUAAAGCGCACGUAGGCGGAUCGAUCAGUCAGGGGUGAAAUCCCAAGAGCUCAACUCUGGAACUGCCUUUGAUACUGUCGGUCUAGAGUAUGGAAGAGGUGAGUGGAAUUCCGAGUGUAGAGGUGAAAUUCGUAGAUAUUCGGAGGAAACACCGAGUGGCGAAGGGCGGCUCACUGGUCCAUUUACUGGACGACUGAGGGUU
rnacentral:rRNA from 1 species